GCCAGACUCCUACGGGAGGCAGCAGUGGGGGAUAUUGCACAAUGGGGGGAACCCUGAUGCAGCGACGCCGCGUGGGUGAAGGAGUAUUUCGGUAUGUAAAGCCCUAUCAGCAGGGAAGAACAAUGACGGUACCUGACUAAGAAGCCCUGGCUAACUACGUGCCAGCAGCCGCGGUAAUACGUAGGGGGCAAGCGUUAUCCGGAUUUACUGGGUGUAAAGGGAGCGUAGACGGCGAUGCAAGCCAGAUGUGAAAGCCCGGGGCUCAACCCCGGGACUGCAUUUGGAACUGUGUGGCCGGAGUGUCGGAGAGGCAGGCGGAAUUCCUAGUGUAGCGGUGAAAUGCGUAGAUAUUAGGAGGAACACCAGUGGCGAAGGCGGCCUGCUGGACGAUGACUGACGUUGAGGCUCGAAAGCGUGGGGAGCAAACAGGAUUAGAUACCCCAGUAGG
rnacentral:rRNA from 1 species